GGGCGGGUAGCUCAGUUGGCUAGAGCGAUGGCCUUACAAGCCAUAGGUCACAGGUUCAAAUCCUGUCUCGCCUACCA
rnacentral:tRNA from 1 species